rnacentral:rRNA from 1 species
CAAUAAGCGGAGGAAAAGAAACCACAGGGAUUACCUCAGUAACGGCGAGUGAAGCGGUAACAGCUCAAAUUUGAAAUCUGGCCUCACGGUCCGAGUUGUAAUUUGUAGAGGAUGCUUCGAGCAUGGUCUGGCCUAAGUUCCUUGGAACAGGACGUCAUAGAGGGUGAGAAUCCCGUAUGCGGCCAGGUGCCUACGCUCAUGUGAAGCUCCUUCGACGAGUCGAGUUGUUUGGGAAUGCAGCUCAAAAUGGGUGGUAAAUUUCAUCUAAAGCUAAAUAUUGGCCAGAGACCGAUAGCGCACAAGUAGAGUGAUCGAAAGAUGAAAAGCACUUUGGAAAGAGAGUUAAACAGUACGUGAAAUUGUUGAAAGGGAAGCGCUUGCAACCAGACUUGCGCGCGGCCGAUCAUCCGGUGUUCUCACCGGUGCACUCGGCCGUGCUCAGGCCAGCAUCGGUUUUGGCGGCUGGAUAAAGGCCCUAGGAAUGUAGCUCCUCUCGGGGAGUGUUAUAGUCUAGGGUGCAAUGCAGCCUGCUGGGACCGAGGACCGCGCUUCGGCUAGGAUGCUGGCGUAAUGGUUGUAAGCGGCCCGUCU